CGGGGCUACCCAAAGUGCUCCAUAUAGGAGCUGUGGUAGGUGCGUAAUGUUCCCUACUAGAAAGGAGAGGGCAAGGCUGGUGCCAGCCGCCGUGGUAAAACCAGCUCUUCAAGUGGUCGGGAUAAUUAUUGGGCUUAAAGUGUCCGUAGCUGGUAAGGUAAGUUCCUGGUAAAAUUGGGCAGCUUAACUGUCCUUAUGCUAGGAAUACUGCUUUACUAGAGGGCGGGAGAGGUCUGAGGUACUACAGGGGUAGGAGUGAAAUCUAUAAUCCUUGUAGGACCACCAGUGGCGAAGGCGUCAGACUGGAACGCGCCUGACGGUGAGGGACGAAAGCCAGGGGAGCGAACCGGAUUAGAUACCCGGGUAGUCCUGGCCGUAAACGAUGCACACUAGAUGAUGGUGCGGCCAUGAGCCGUAUCAGUGUCGUAGGGAAACCGUUAAGUGUGCCGCCUGGGAAGUACGGUCGCAAGGCUUAAACUUAAAGGAAUUGGCGGGGGAGCACCACAAGGGGUGAAGCCUGCGGUUCAAUUGGACUCAACGCCGGGCAACUUACCAGGGGAGACAGCAGAAUGAAGGUCAGGUUGACGACCUUACCUAACAAGCUGAGAGGAGGUGCAUGGCCGUCGCCAGUUCGUGCUGUGAGGUAUCCUGUUAAGUCAGGCAACGAACGAGACCCGUGCCUUUAUUUGCCAUCAAGAAGUCACGACUUCGUUGGGAACGAUAAAGGGACUGCCGUCGAUAAGACGGAGGAAGGAGCGGGCAAAGGCAGGUCAGUAUGCCCCGAAACCCCUGGGCUACACGCGGGCUGCAAUGGCGCGAACAAUGGGCUGUGACUCCGACAGGAGAAACCAAUCCCGAAAUCGCAUCUCAGUUGGGAUUGUCAACUGUAACCCGUUGACAUGAACGUGGAAUCCCUAGUAAU
rnacentral:rRNA from 1 species